GCAGUGGUGGUAUAGUGGUAGAAUUCUCACCCUUGAUGUGGAAGACCUAGGUUCAAUUCCUGGCCAAUGCC
rnacentral:tRNA from 1 species